rnacentral:rRNA from 1 species
CCUACGGGUGGCAGCAGUGAGGAAUAUUGGUCAAUGGGCUUACGCCUGAACCAGCCAAGUCGCGUGAGGGAAGACUGCCCUAUGGGUUUUAAACCUCUUUUGUCAGGGAGCAACGCCGGCUACGUGUAGCCGUACUGAGAGUACCUGAAGAAAAAGCAUCGGCUAACUCGGUGCCAGCAGCCGCGGUAAUACGGAGGAUGCGAGCGUUAUCCGGAUUAAUUGGGUUUAAAGGGUGCGUAGGCGGAAUGCCAAGUCAGCGGUAAAAUCGCGGGGCUCAACCUGGAACUGCCGUUGAAACUGGCGUGCUUGAGUGGGGGAGAGGUAGGUGGAAUGCGUGGUGUAGCGGUGAAAUGCAUAGAGAUCACGAAGAACUCCGAUUGCGAAGGCAGCAUACCGGAGCCCAACUGACGCUGAGGCACGAAAGCGUGGGUAUCGAACAGGAUUAGAUACCCUGGUAGUC